GGAUCCAGACUUUGAUCAUGGCUCAGGAUGAACGCUAGCUACAGGCUUAACACAUGCAAGUCGAGGGGAAACGACAUCGAAAGCUUGCUUUUGAUGGGCGUCGACCGGCGCACGGGUGAGUAACGCGUAUCCAACCUGCCCAUCACUUGGGGAUAACCUUGCGAAAGUAAGACUAAUACCCAAUGAUAUCCCACGAAGACAUCUGAAUGGGAUUAAAGAUUUAUCGGUGAUGGAUGGGGAUGCGUCUGAUUAGCUUGUUGGCGGGGUAACGGCCCACCAAGGCAACGAUCAGUAGGGGUUCUGAGAGGAAGGUCCCCCACAUUGGAACUGAGACACGGUCCAAACUCCUACGGGGGGCAGCAGUGAGGAAUAUUGGUCAAUGGGCGAGAGCCUGAACCAGCCAAGUAGCGUGCAGGAUGACGGCCCUAUGGGUUGUAAACUGCUUUUAUAAGGGAAUAAAGUGAGUCUCGUGAGACUUUUUGCAUGUACCUUAUGAAUAAGGACCGGCUAAUUCCGUGCCAGCAGCCGCGGUAAUACGGAAGGUCCGGGCGUUAUCCGGAUUUAUUGGGUUUAAAGGGAGCGUAGGCCGGAGAUUAAGCGUGUUGUGAAAUGUAGAGGCUCAGCCUCUGCACUGCAGCGCGAACUGGUCUUCUUGAGUACGCACAACGUGGGCGGAAUUCGUGGUGUAGCGGUGAAAUGCUUAGAUAUCACGAAGAACUCCGAUUGCGAAGGCAGCUCACGGGAGCGCAACUGACGCUGAAGCUCGAAAGUGCGGGUAUCGAACAGGAUUAGAUACCCUGGUAGUCCGCACGGUAAACGAUGGAUGCCCGCUGUUGGCCUGAAUAGGUCAGCGGCCAAGCGAAAGCAUUAAGCAUCCCACCUGGGGAGUACGCCGGCAACGGUGCAACUCAAAGGAAUUGACGG
rnacentral:rRNA from 1 species